rnacentral:tRNA from 1 species
AGAAAUUUAGGUUAAUUAAACCAAGAGCCUUCAAAGCUUUAAAAAAGGACACAUUCCUUAAUUUCUG